rnacentral:rRNA from 1 species
UACGUAGGGGGCUAGCGUUGUCCGGAAUCAUUGGGCGUAAAGAGCGUGUAGGCGGCCCGGUAAGUCCGCUGUGAAAGUCGGGGGCUCAACCCUCGAGUGCCGGUGGAUACUGUCGGGCUAGAGUGCGGAAGAGGCGAGUGGAAUUCCUGGUGUAGCGGUGAAAUGCGCAGAUAUCAGGAGGAACACCGAUUGCGAAGGCAGCUCGCUGGGACGUCACUGACGCUGAGACGCGAAAGCGUGGGGAGCAAACAGG